AACCUUAUGGACCUGCGGGCGUAUACCUGCGGAGGGAUCAUUACCGAGUGAGGGCCCUCCGGGUCCAACCUCCCACCCGUGUUUAACGAACCUUGUUGCUUCGGCGGGCCCGCCUCACGGCCGCCGGGGGGCACCCCGCCCCCGGGCCCGCGCCCGCCGAAGACACCUGUGAACGCUGUCUGAAGUUGCAGUCUGAGACACUAGCUCAAUCAGUUAAAACUUUUAACAAUGGAUCUCAGA
rnacentral:misc_RNA from 1 species